AUGGGAGCUUGCUCCCUGAUGUUAGCGGCGGACGGGUGAGUAACACGUGGGUAACCUGCCUGUAAGACUGGGAUAACUCCGGGAAACCGGGGCUAAUACCGGAUGGUUGUUUGAACCGCAUGGUUCAAACAUAAAAGGUGGCUUCGGCUACCACUUACAGAUGGACCCGCGGCGCAUUAGCUAGUUGGUGAGGUAACGGCUCACCAAGGCAACGAUGCGUAGCCGACCUGAGAGGGUGAUCGGCCACACUGGGACUGAGACACGGCCCAGACUCCUACGGGAGGCAGCAGUAGGGAAUCUUCCGCAAUGGACGAAAGUCUGACGGAGCAACGCCGCGUGAGUGAUGAAGGUUUUCGGAUCGUAAAGCUCUGUUGUUAGGGAAGAACAAGUACCGUUCGAAUAGGGCGGUACCUUGACGGUACCUAACCAGAAAGCCACGGCUAACUACGUGCCAGCAGCCGCGGUAAUACGUAGGUGGCAAGCGUUGUCCGGAAUUAUUGGGCGUAAAGGGCUCGCAGGCGGUUUCUUAAGUCUGAUGUGAAAGCCCCCGGCUCAACCGGGGAGGGUCAUUGGAAACUGGGGAACUUGAGUGCAGAAGAGGAGAGUGGAAUUCCACGUGUAGCGGUGAAAUGCGUAGAGAUGUGGAGGAACACCAGUGGCGAAGGCGACUCUCUGGUCUGUAACUGACGCUGAGGAGCGAAAGCGUGGGGAGCGAACAGGAUUAGAUACCCUGGUAGUCCACGCCGUAAACGAUGAGUGCUAAGUGUUAGGGGGUUUCCGCCCCUUAGUGCUGCAGCUAACGCAUUAAGCACUCCGCCUG
rnacentral:rRNA from 2 species